rnacentral:rRNA from 1 species
CAAUAGCGUAUAUUAAAGUUGUUGCAGUUAAAAAGCUCGUAGUUGGAUUUCGGGGCAGCCUGGCUGGUCCGCCGCAAGGCGAGUACUGGUCAGCCGCCCUUCCUCUCGAAAGCCCCGACUGCUCUUUAUUGCAGUGGUCGGGUAGUUCGGGACGUUUACUUUGAAAAAAUUAGAGUGUUCAAGGCAGGCCUACGCCUGAAUACAUUAGCAUGGAAUAAUGGAAGAGGACCUCGGUCCUAUUUUGUUGGUUUCCAGGACCGAAGUAAUGAUUAAGAGGGACAGUUGGGGGCAUUCGUAUUUAAUUGUCAGAGGUGAAAUUCUCGGAUUUAUGAAAGACGUACAACUGCGAAAGCAUUUGCCAAGGAUGUUUUCAUUAA